rnacentral:tRNA from 1 species
GGGGCGUUAGCUCAGUUGGUAGAGCAGCUGACUCUUAAUCAGCGGGUCGUUGGUUCGAUCCCAACACGCCCCACCA